AACUUUUGGCAACGUAUCUCUUGGCUCUCGCAUCGAUGAAGAACGCAGCGAAAUGAGAUACGUAAUGUGAAUUGCAGAAUUCAGUGAAUCAUCGAAUCUUUGAACGCAUAUUGCGGUCUCUGGUAUUCCGGAGUGCAUGCUUGUUUGAGUAUCAGUAAACACCUCAAAGCCCUCUACUUGUUGGAGGUAUUGGGACUUGAGAAAUCCCAACUUUUCGAAAGAGAAGGCGGGUUGCUUGAAAUGCAGGUGCAGCUAGAUUCUUUCUUCUGAGCUAUAAGCAUACUUAUUUAAUCCCGUCAAACGGAUUAUUACUUUUGCUGCAGCUAACAUAAAGGUUGAAGAGUCGCUAUGGCUGACUGAUGCAGGAUUUAACAUGUCGCGCAAGCGAUCUGUAAACUCGAUCUCAAAUCAAGCAAGACUACCCGCUGAACUUAAGCAUAUCAAUAAGCGGAGGCU
rnacentral:misc_RNA from 1 species